GGGCCUUCUUCUUCUUCUUUUUCUGCUGCAUUCAUCACAUUUUCUUCUUUUUCAUGUUGUUUGGUACCUGGACAUGUUACACAUAAAAAUAAUAAAUAUCUAUAUUAAUAAGACAAAUCAUAUGUGAAUUGAAUAAUGGGAUGGAUUAUCUAAACAUUAAUUGAUCCUCGUUUGCUGUUUGUACUGAUGCAAUUGUAGUAUAUAAGCGUGUGACGCUAGCUCCAUCAUCAACUUGUUUUAUAAUUAAGUAAUUAUUUGAGUUUGAAUUUGAUUAAACACGAUCAUCAUCCGGUUCAUUACAAAACUAAAUUGGCAAAUAUAUCCCGUUUGAAUAAAUUAAACAUAUGAUCAUAUCCACUAACUAAUUAAAUUGGCAAAUUAAAAUAGAUCAUGUCACAUGCUUGCCAUUUAUAAUUAAUUAAUACACAUCCUUCAUGCAUAAUAUUACUUAAUUUAUCUCAAAAUUUUCAAAACAUUAGUUGUUCUAACUACCUGAUGAUGCUUGUCUAUAUUUAUAAAAAUGGUGCAAAAACCUCAAAAUGAAAACUUCCAUGCAUAUAUAGAAUAUGUUAGUUAAUCAUCUCAAGAAAUAUAAUGAUCACUGCAGAUAGUUUAUAUAUAUCACAUUAUUUUUCUCUAAAAUUUUCAAAAUAGCUAGAUACCUGAUGAGGCUUGUAGGGUUUCUUCCUCAGCAGAGCUCUUCAUCUGAUCGGAUUGAUACAGCUCAAAUUAGCAGGUAAAACUCCAAGUGAAAAAUAUGUAACAGAGAGAGAAAACUGAUGUAUUAAGAAAAAUAAGUACUAACUGUUUGGUGAUUGAGAUUGAUGGGAGCAAACUUUGCAUGAUCACCUGCAUAUAUAAUUCCCAAGAAUAUUGAUAUAAUGAGAUUGAUGUAAGCAAAAAAGGUGUGUGAAAUAUUACCUUGUUGAAUAGGUUUGUUGAGAUUGAGGUGGUCGGAAGCACAGGGUGAUAACAGAAAUGAGAUGGCUAGUAGUAAUGAAACCAUUAGGGUUAGCAAUUCCAUAAGUAAGACUAGCUCGGGAUUCAACAAGGUUUUUAGUUGAGUUGUUUUCCAGUUUUUGCUUUCUGAAACUUGGGAUUUAUAGCAGAGAGAGAGAGGUAAAGACACGGGUAUCAAGAACAUACAC
rnacentral:lncRNA from 1 species